AGGAAGGAUGCACCUUGCCAGUGCCAGCUGAGUAGCAGUCAGGAUCCCAGAUAGCUGGAGUAGGAGAUGCUGAGGCCCAGGCACUUGUGGAUGACCUAAGGAGAUUGCAGUUACUACCUGAGGAGCCCAGAGACUGCAAAGACACUGUGACUUCAGCUGCAGGAGUCAUGAUUGUAAACUCCAAGGAGCAGGGAUCGUCUCUUUCCAUUUCCUUGCAGAUUGCCAUGGUCAUCUACGGUCAGUUUGUUGCAGAGUUGGCUGUCUUCACAGAAACCAGAACCCAAUUCUUCCAUGGUAGCCUAUCUGCAUCCUUUCACUAAGGAGGCUUCUCUGCACUCUAAUAUAUGGAAUCAGUCUUUUGCCUCUACUCAAACAUGGAAAUCCCCUGCCCUUUUUAUACCCUUUUUCACCUCAAGUGAUUUUCAUUGUUUGCUGUUGUCUUUGAUGGUUUCCAUCAAUAGUCUUGGGAUGGAGCAAGGUAGAUCAUUGAGCCUUGCUUUACAUCACUGGCUAACCAAGGAGGAGUGACAGUGUCCUCCUGCUUGAAUGGACCAUCAUCAAGACAUACUGGUAACAUCCAUUGGUAACUAACUCUUACUCAAAGUCCAUAAAACCUAUUCCUUAAAUAUUACCCAAGUGCAUAUCUUAAUGAUUAUAAAUCUUGACUAUUUAUACGCUUUUUGUAGGUACCUUUACAUGUUACUCUUUAUGGAUAAAUAGCCUGCGAGAUGUGUGUUUGGUAUAAUAAGUGUUAGGUCUGGUGAGAGUUGUUUGCAAAAGACUGGGGACCCUUGGCCAACAGGCUUCUGUCAAACCUAGAAAUUGCCAGACUGGAUCAGACGAAGACCAUUUAGUUCACCAUCCUGUCGCUGACAGUGGCCAGCACCAGAUGCUUCAGAGGAAGGUAUAAGAACUUUGCAACAUGCGGAUGUAGAAUAAUCUGACCUCCACUGUAGGUCUCCUCCUGGUCUCUAAUAGAAACAGGCUUAUGACCUGAAACAUGAGUUAUUAUAAUUCCAAAAUUUUUGGACAACUCUGGAUAUUCUUGAUCUAGAGAUAGUUGGUAAUUUUGCUGAGUUUUCAUUUUUAUAUUGGGAAAUUGAAAUUGUUCAUUUCUGGUCAGGUCAGCUUGAAUUGGAAUAUUUCGUGUUUUGAGUUGAAACAUUUCAUUUCAAAAGAGUUCGGCAAAAUAUUAAACUGAAUUUCCCAUCAGAGCAUUGCUUUGAGGGUUUGCGGUUCAGACCCCAUUCUCUAUGGGCCAGGCUCCCUUGAGGACUAUAAUGAAAUGUGGAUUUCCCUGACUAAACUACUUAGUGCAUCAUGAGUCACAUGACUGUGGGAACAUUAUGGGGGAUGUAGUCCAGCCAUGGAGCCUAGCCUCUACAGGAGAAAGGGAACAUCAGGUGCCUGAACUACAUCUCCCAUGAGGUAAUAUGCUACAAGGGGAAUACAGUUUAGUAUUUAACGGGCUCAAAAUGAAACAUUUUAGAUCAGUUCAGUAAACUGAAAUGAAACAUUUCAUUUCAAAAAUGUUAAUGUUACCUUUUGUUUGAAAAGGUAAAUUCUGAAUCUCAAUUUUUCUGGAUCUAUGUUCUGCAAAAAAUCUGGGAAAGAAGGGAGACAGGCAAAUGGGUUCAUUUUCUAAACUUUUCUUGCUUGCCUAAUUAGCAGAAUUUAGCAUUCUCCCCUAAAACACUGGGCCUGAUCCUCAUGUGAUGUAAAUCCUCAAAGCUCCAUUGACUUCAAUGGAAACUGCCAAUUUAUACUGGCAUAGGAUCUGUACCAUUUUAUUUAAACAUCAAGUGAUUCUGCUUAUUAUAUUACUAAUUUUACAGUAUUAUGGCUCAAUCUAGCAAAUGUUUUAAGCACAUCCAUAGCUUUAUUCACAUAAGUAGUCUGAAAGAAACUAAUCAGAAAACUAGGGCUGUCAAGCAAUUUAAAAAAUUGAUUAAUUGCACAAUUGUGCUAUUAAAGAAUAGCAUUUAAAUUUUUUGGACAUUUUCUGCACUUUCAAAUGUCUUUCAAUUACAACACAAUACAAAGUGUACAGUGCUCAUUUGUAUUACAAAUAUUUGCACUGUAAAGAGAUACAAGUACAAUAAUGCAAACGCUACCAUGAAAGUUGAACUUACAAAUAUA